AGCGAACGCUGGCGGCAGGCUUAACACAUGCAAGUCGAGCGGGCACUUUCGGGUGUCAGCGGCGGACGGGUGCGUAACGCGUGGGAACGUGCCCUCUGGUUCGGAAUAACUCAGGGAAACUUGAGCUAAUACCGGAUACGCCCUUUUGGGGAAAGGCUUGCUGCCGGAGGAUCGGCCCGCGUCUGAUUAGCUAAUUGGUGAGGUAACGGCUCACCAAGGCGACGAUCAGUAGCUGGUCUGAGAGGAUGAUCAGCCACACUGGGACUGAGACACGGCCCAGACUCCUACGGGAGGCAGCAGUGGGGAAUAUUGGACAAUGGGCGCAAGCCUGAUCCAGCCAUGCCGCGUGAGUGAUCAAGGCCUUAGGGUUGUAAAGCUCUUUUAUCCGGGACGAUAAUGACGGUACCGGAGGAAUAAGCCCCGGCUAACUUCGUG
rnacentral:rRNA from 1 species